AUGGGAAUAUUCCAACUACUCUCAAAAGCGUAUGUUCAAUCAUGCAUAUGCCUAUGGCAUACUCAAACGGUUGAGUGAUUUCAGUUGUUUGUACUUAAAUCUUGUAAUACUUGUUUAAUAGUUGUUAAAAAAGUGCAAAAGCCGUGUUGCGUACACUUAUUUUAACCCCGACGCCAGGUAGAAUUUAUUACGUGCCCAUAGCUUUAAUCUAUUAUUGAUUCGGUGGCGUGCAAGGUAUAACAAGAUAAACAUAUUAGUUUCCAAUGUCGACUUUAUGAAUAGAGUAGUAAAUAUCGCGGUAGUUGCUAUGUGAAAACGUAAACAAACAUUGCACAAUAUCAAGUCAAUAAAUUAUUGAGUCUCUUUUAGUAUUAAUCUUGUACUCUUCUACCGACAGAAAACAUUUUAAAAUCGGACAGCAAUACAAGAAAGUAAACGGGGAUUGGAAUUUUUAAAAGAACUUGAAAAGUUAUUAAAACUUGAAAAAAGCAGACGAAAUUGGCUGCAACAAUUUGAGGAAAUUAAAAGAAAAAUGUCAUUUCAAGAAAGAAAAAGAAAACUUGAAACGGAGGCAGAAGAAUCUCUUGAAAGAGAAGUAAAAUAUCCAUAUAAUUUGAGAAGUACCCCUCCACAAAGUCUUGAGUAAAAGAAAAGAAUAGAAAUACAGUAAUUUUGUUGUAAAAAAUAUACUAAUAAAACAAUAUAUAAAAUAUAA